UCCGGCUUGGCACCGGCAGUUUCCUUAAAGUGCUCAGCUUAACCUGUUAGCAACCAAGGAUGGGGGUUGCGCUCGUUGCGGGACUUAACCCAACAUCUCACGACACGAGCUGACGACAGCCAUGCAGCACCUGUGCGGGAUCCGGCCGAACCGACAAGACCAUCUCUGGUCCCUUUAAUCCCCAUGUCAAGAGCUGGUAAGGUUCUGCGCGUUGCGUCGAAUUAAACCACAUACUCCACCGCUUGUGCGGGUCCCCGUCAAUUCCUUUAAGUUUUAAUCUUGCGACCGUACUCCCCAGGCGGAAUGCUUAUCGUGUUAACUAAGAUACUGAGCUUUUACACCCAACAUCUAGCAUUCAUCGUUUACAGCGUGGACUAC
rnacentral:misc_RNA from 1 species